rnacentral:rRNA from 1 species
UACGGGGGGGGCAAGCGUUGUUCGGAAUUACUGGGCGUAAAGGGCGCGUAGGCGGUUUGCUAAGUCGGAUGUGAAAACUCUGGGCUUAACCCAGAGCCUGCAUCCAAAACUGGCGAACUGGAGUACUGGAGGGGAAAGCGGAAUUCCUGGUGUAGCGGUGAAAUGCGUAGAUAUCAGGAGGAACACCGGUGGCGAAGGCGGCGUUCUGGACAGUAACUGACGCUGAGGCGCGAAAGCGAGGGGAGCAAACAGG